AUUGAACGCUGGCGGCAUGCUUUACACAUGCAAGUCGGACGAGUGGCGGACGGGUGAGUAAUGUCUUGGAAAGUACCUGGUGGUGGGGGAUAACCACUCGAAAGGUUGGCUAAUACCGCAUACCAUCCGCGCGGCCCAUAUGGGAUUAGCUAGUUGGUGGGGUAACGGCCCACCUAGGCGACGAUCCGUAGCUGGUCUGAGAGGAUGAUCAGCCACACUGGGACUGAGACACGGCCCAGACUCCUACGGGAGGCAGCAGUGGGGAAUAUUGGACAAUGGGCGAAAGCCUGAUGCAGCCAUGCCGCGUGUAUGAAGAAGGCCUUCGGGUUGUAAAGUACUUUCAGCGAGGAGGCGUUACUCGCAGAAGAAGCACCGGCUAACUACGUGCCAGCCGCCGCGGUAAUAC
rnacentral:rRNA from 1 species